rnacentral:lncRNA from 1 species
AAAGGCCAACUUUCUCCAUCAUGCUAUAUCUUAUUAUGGUUCUGGCAAAUCUUCUGCUAUCACACUAUCUCCCAUUUUUGGACGGGAAUCUUUCGGCUAAACGUACAGACAUACCUACAUUUCCUUUGGCUUAUUAUCAAAUGUGGAAAUGCCUCGUAUGGCCAGAGGAGCAGGAAAAAAGACGUAGGGUGGCUGGAUGGCAGCGUAGUAGGUACCUGACCUUGGCCUAUGCAAUGGAAAGGGAACAGAGGUGAAGAUAUACACAAAGAAAGGGGAUUCAAAAAAAGGGGAUCCAUCACUCACCUCACACAGAGCUCUCAACCCCUCCAAUCACUCUCUAUUCACUCAAUAGAGAACCUCUCAAGGAUGGCCUCAUUAGAAAAACCAAUCGUUCACCCCAAUUCCGGACCUCCAAAACUUCACCGUCUGCUUGAGCAUUCUUGACUCCCUCACCUCUAACACGAACUCCCAUUUGCCCAUUUGCCUCUAAAGAAAAAGGAACGUCAGCCACAGGGAGGAGUUACCAGAGUUUAACAACAGAUGACAUCGCUCAAAGAGGUAACACCUUGCUCACUUGAAUCAUCAUGUAAACUGGCUGUAGUGGAUGUCGCUUUUUUCUUGAUUGCUGCCUUGUUUGAGUAUGUAUUGUUGUGAGAAUAUUCCCCUUUCGUCGAUGCAUAAUCACCCUUCCUCCGUAACCUAAAACCUCAAGCCACAUUCUUGUCUUGCAUUGGUGUUCUCCACCUUUAUCAGCAUCACCAUCAUCUUCCUGUAUUCACCCUUUGAUUUCCCAUACAUGAUUUUGCCAAUAAUAUCCUCAUCUUCGUCCACCCUCGUCGACCUUGUUCAUAGCUUCCCUACAUAAAAAGAAGAAAACACAAAAGAGGCCAAAUCGACAUUCAAGAAAAAUCCUUCAUACAUAACCCCACCAGCCAAACACAAUUUAUUCUCUCCGUCAUUCACCAAUCGAAAAAAGUAAGCCAUCACCCCUCAACAUCACAACACCAUAGCUUCUUCAAUCUACACCCAGAAAACGCUCUAGAAAACUGUAAGGCAAUAAAAAAGAAUGGGAGAAAUAUAAGAGCAACACUCUAUGCCAAAUCCUCCUUGAAACCAGUUGAUGCAAGGUCUGUAACCUACAAACACCAAAACAAAGUAUCAAAUACCCCUGUUCUUCAUCUGAUGAGUACACCUACUGAAGGGUGUUGGAAGGAUAAACACUUACUGAUGAGUGUGAUGAGUGCAUAUUUAUGUCCACAUUUACGCUUUAAAAUUCAAAUUUUUGAUGAAAUUCUUGUGCUUAAAUGAUUGAUUUAAUAUGAAUUN